rnacentral:rRNA from 1 species
GACAGAGGCCCCAAGCGUUAGGCGGAAUCACUGGGCUUAAAGCGUGUGUAGGCGGACGCCUAAGUGUCUUGUGAAAUCCCACGGCUCACCCGUGGAACUGCUGGGCAUACUGGGCGUCUUGGGCCAACUAGGGGCAGCCGGAACAAGCGGUGGAGCGGUGAAAUGCGUAGAUAUCGCUUGGAACGCCGAAGGUGAAAACAGGCUGCUGGGGUUGUGCCGACGCUGAGACACGAAAGCCAGGGGAGCGAACGGG